rnacentral:lncRNA from 1 species
AUUUAUUCAUUUGUGUAUGUUGAACCAGCAUUUCAUCCCAAAGAUGCAGCCGACUUGAUUGUGGUGGAUAAGCUUUUUGAUGUGCUGCUGGAUUCUGUUUGCUAGUAUUUUAUUAAGAAUUUUUGCAUUAAUGUUCAUCAGGGAUAUUGGCCUGGAUUGAGCAGGCCAUUUCCAAUCCAGCGGAAGACCUUCUAGAAGAGGUGAUGGGUGGGAGAGUGCUGGCAUACUAUGUGAAGCUACUAUUUGGAGUUGGACACGAGUGCAUGUGACCUUGUGCCACAGCGGGAAUGUGAGCUGGAUGACAAAUGGAGAUUUGGACUUGUGAUAAUUGGCCUCUGUGUCAUUGUGUGGAAGACUGACUGGUCCCUUUAUUUCCUGUAGCUUGACUACCACACAAAUGAAUCCACUCAAAUGUUGGCAAGUGGAGCAGAGUCCCAGGACAGGUACAGAAACACCCCCAGUUCAAGGAUCUUCACACCUGGAUUUAGGCCUACUCCUGCAACUACCCCAGAACCUGGAAUUUAUAUGUUCAACAUGGAGCCAUCCCAGCCAUGACAACAGAGAAUGUACCACUCUCACGCCUCAGUGUCAUCAAGGAGACUCUCCUUGACAUG